rnacentral:piRNA from 1 species
GGAACAUUGUCUCCACAUGGGUCA